rnacentral:rRNA from 1 species
GUUAGUAUUAGUUAUGGUCUUUAAAAUUAAAAAAUUUGGCGGUAUUUUAAUUUUUCAGAGGAACCUGUUUCAUAAUUGAUAGUCCACAAUUAAAUUAAUUUUUUUUUAAUUUAUAUAUCGUUGUAGUUUGAUUAUUCUGGAAGGCGUAUAUUCAAGAUUUAUUAUAAUAAAAAAUAUCAGAUCAAGAUGUAGUUUAUAAAGAAAAGAAAAUGGGUUACAUUAAAUUGAUUUAAAGAGGAGUAUUUUAAAAAUAUUCUAAAUAUGGAUUUGAAAGUAAUAUUGAUUAUAUAAUUAAUAUGAUUAAACUAUAAAGUAUGCACACAUCGCCCG